ensembl:lncRNA
GGCGUGCCAAGAUGGCGGAGUGAGUAGACGCUUUCUACCGAGUUCUGCACAGAAAGUUCGUGAACAACAGUAAAAACUCAACUUUAUGCUGCCAACACUAACAUUUAACACUAACAAUUAACUAAACAAGAGAAGAUACAGCAAUCAUAGGGCAAGAAGCAGCAGAAUGCCGAAUCAGAAAGGAGCGAAAAGGGGACUGGAAAGUUCCAAGUCUAAGCUAGCCCCUGAGAAUGCUAACGAGGAGAGGGCUACACCCAGCAACGUGAUAAUGGAUAGCUGCCAUAACUACGCAGCUACUGCGGUGGCACUCACGUUAGCCGAAGAAGAAAUGGAUGAGUUCCCACCUCUCCCUGUUACACCUCUUAAAUCGCCAGCUCCGAAGAAGGUGAUGUAUGAACGCAGCAGCUCUGACCCAGAUGAUGUAAAUCAGAUUAAUAAAUUAAUAAACACCAGGUCUGAUAACAUUGAGAGCAUGGUGAGAGAGAACUCGAACAUGGUGAAAGAGAAUACGCUCCAGAUUGAGGGUCUCAAAAAGACGAUUGAUUUUGUGUGCGCAGAAAUGAAAGAUGUGAAGGGAAAAGUUUGCGACCUGGAAAAAAAAGUAACUAAAGAGGAAGGUAGAGUGGACAACUGCCAACAGAGAAUAUCUGAGUUGGAAAGAUAUUCCAGGAGGUGGAAUCUCAGACUACAUGGAGUCAAGGAGGCUGAGAAAGAAGACGUAAGGGGAAAGGUGAUUGAGAUAUGCCAGUCUGUUCUGCCGGAGCAAAAUCAUAGGCUGCCUGACGUCAUCGACACCGUACACCGACUCGGAGCCAAGCGACAAGGUAGCACCAGACCUAGAGGCAUCAUCGUGCAGUUCACCUCCCGAAUCUACAGAGAUGCUGUAUGGAAAACCGCCAAAACAUCCUCCUACCUGCAGGACAAUCAUUUGAGGUUCGCUGAAGAUCUGUCCAGGGAGGACAGAGAACGUUGUGACAAACUGUGGCCGAUGAUUGACAAAGCCCGUAAGGAGGGUAAGCCGGCUUAUUUCGUGGGAGGCCGAGGAUUCAUCAGUGGAUCAGAAGUUUUCCCUCCUUCAUAGAGAUUCAGUCUCCGACAUGACAUUUCUGAAGUCACAUACUUGGGACUGUUAAUAUCCAAAGAUCAAAAAUCAAGAUGCUCUUCAAACUUCACUCCAAUUAUACAGAAAACCCUAAAGAAGUUCAACCAGUGGCUGCAAAGGGACUUGUCGUUGAAAGGUAGAGUGUUGAUUACUAAAGCUGAAGGGAUAUCCCGUUUAACAUAUGCUGCUCUGUCUUUACAUCUGGAUAAGAAAAUUAGUAAAGACACUGACCGUAUGCUCUUUAAUUUUAUAUGGAAGAACCGUACGCAUUAUAUUAGAAAAACUGUUGUGAUGAAUAAGUACGAAUCAGGUGGGCUUAACGUCUUAGACUUUUCUACUUUGAAUAACACUUUCAAAAUUAAUUGGGCUAAACAUUUUCUUAAAA